UACGAAGGGGGCUAGCGUUGUUCGGAAUUACUGGGCGUAAAGCGCACGUAGGCGGAUCGAUCAGUCAGGGGUGAAAUCCCAGGGCUCAACCCUGGAACUGCCUUUGAUACUGUCGAUCUGGAGUAUGGAAGAGGUGAGUGGAAUUCCGAGUGUAGAGGUGAAAUUCGUAGAUAUUAGGAGGAAUACCGGUGGCGAAGGCGGCCUUCUGGACCAUUCCUGACACUGAGACGCGAAAGCGUGGGUAGCAAACAGGG
rnacentral:rRNA from 1 species